rnacentral:rRNA from 1 species
UACGUAGGGGGCUAGCGUUGUCCGGAAUCAUUGGGCGUAAAGCGCGCGCAGGCGGUCAGAGGCGUCGGUGCUCAAAGUCCACCGCUUAACGGUGGGAGGCGUGCCGAUACGCUCUGACUGGAGGGCGGGCGAGGGUGGUGGAAUUGCCGGUGUAGUGGUGAAAUGCGUAGAGAUCGGCAGGAACACCAGUGCGAAGGCGGCCACCUAGCCCGCACCUGACGCUGAGGCGCGACAGCGUGGGGAGCGAACUGG